UACGGAGGGUGCAAGCGUUGUCCGGAUUUAUUGGGUUUAAAGGGUGCGUAGGCGGCUUUUUAAGUCAGUGGUGAAAGACAACAGCUCAACUGUUGCAGUGCCAUUGAUACUGAAGAGCUUGAGUACAGAUGAGGUAGGCGGAAUUUAUGGUGUAGCGGUGAAAUGCGCAGAUAUCAGGAGGAACACCGAUUGCGAAGGCAGCUCGCUGGAACGUUACUGACGCUGAGACGCGAAAGCGUGGGGAGCAAACAGG
rnacentral:rRNA from 1 species